rnacentral:rRNA from 1 species
UGGGGAAUAUUGCACAAUGGAGGGAACUCUGAUGCAGCGACGCCGCGUGAACGAAGAAGGCUUUCGAGUCGUAAAGUUCUUUUAUAUGGGAAGAUAAUGACGGUACCAUAAGAAAAAGCCCCGGCUAACUACGUGCCAGCAACCGCGGUAAUACGUAGGGGGCUAGCGUUGUCCGGAAUCACUGGGCGUAAAGGGUUCGCAGGCGGAAAUGCAAGUCAGGUGUAAAAGGCAGUAGCUUAACUACUGUAAGCAUUUGAAACUGCAUAUCUUGAGAAGAGUAGAGGUAAGUGGAAUUUUUAGUGUAGCGGUGAAAUGCGUAGAUAUUAAAAAGAAUACCGGUGGCGAAGGCGACUUACUGGGCUCAUUCUGACGCUGAGGAACGAAAGCGUGGGUAGCAAACAGG